rnacentral:rRNA from 1 species
UACGGAGGAGGCAAGCGUUAUCCGGAAUUAUUGGGCGUAAAGCGUCCGCAGGUGGCACCUCAAGUCUGCUGUCAAAGACCGGGGCUUAACCCCAGAAAGGCAGUGGAAACUGAAGUGCUAGAGUGCAGUAGGGGCAGAGGGAAUUCCCGGUGUAGCGGUGAAAUGCGUAGAGAUCGGGAAGAACAUCGGUGGCGAAAGCGCUCUGCUGGACUGCAACUGACACUCAGGGACGAAAGCUAGGGGAGCGAAUGGG